rnacentral:rRNA from 1 species
UACGUAGGGUGCAAGCGUUGUCCGGAAUUAUUGGGCGUAAAGAGCUCGUAGGCGGUUUGUCGCGUCUGCUGUGAAAACUCAGGGCUUAACUCUGAGCUUGCAGUGGGUACGGGCAGACUAGAGUCCGGUAGGGGAAGGUGGAAUUCCUGGUGUAGCGGUGAAAUGCGCAGAUAUCAGGAAGAACACCCGUGGCUAAGGCGGCUCUCUAGUACGGUACUGACGCUGAGACGCGAAAGCGUGGGGAGCGAACAGG